AUUAUGUUUAGCUAACCAAGAAGGAGAGGCUCAAGUGAUAAGGAAAAGCUAAGCAGGUGUAAUUAGUACUAGCUUUCAGGUAUUUUGUUGAGGUUCGAGCGGAUUGUACGAAGAAUGUAUACGCAUGAUAUUGGUUUUGCAAAGGUUCAGGUGGAUUGUAUGAAGAAUAUAUAUAAACAUGACAUUUGGUUUUAUGGAGGUUCAAUUGUAUUGUACGGAGAUACUUGUGCAUAUUUAUAUGAUAACCCUACAUGGGUUCUUUCAAGUAUAAGACUCUGCGGAGUCUAAGGCUUAAAGCCUCAUAUGCAUAAGCAAACCCUUGGCCAUGGCAUAUGUAAGUUAUGUAAGUCCAUCGGACUUGUUCUUUAAGUUUUAUGUUAAAGUUAUAAGAUUUCACCAUGUCAAGUCCGUAACAAAAA